rnacentral:rRNA from 1 species
CUACGUGCCAGCAGCCGCGGUAAUACGGAGGGUGCGAGCGUUAAUCGGAAUAACUGGGCGUAAAGGGCACGCAGGCGGUGACUUAAGUGAGGUGUGAAAGCCCCGGGCUCAACCUGGGAACUGCGUUCUGAACUGGGUGACUAGAGUGUGUCAGAGGGAGGUAGAAUUCCACGUGUAGCAGUGAAAUGCGUAGAGAUGUGGAGGAAUACCGAUGGCGAAGGCAGCCUCCUGGGAUAACACUGACGUUCAUGCCCGAAAGCGUGGGUAGCAAACAGGAUUAGAUACCCUGGUAGUCCACGCCGUAAACGAUGAGUGCUAGGUGUUAGACCCUUUCCGGGGUUUAGUGCCGCAGCUAACGCAUUAAGCACUCCGCCUGGGGAGUACGACCGCAAGGUUGAAACUCAAAGGAAUUGACGGGGGCCCGCACAAGCGGUGGAGCAUGUGGUUUAAUUCGAAGCAACGCGAAGAACCUUACCAGGUCUUGACAUCCCUCKACCGCUCUAGAGAUAG